GACGAACGCUGGCGGCGUGCUUAACACAUGCAAGUCGAACGAAGUGGCGAACGGGUGAGUAACGCGUAAUCAACCUGCCCUUCAGAGGGGGACAACAGUUGGAAACGACUGCUAAUACAGCAUAACUAAGGAGGGGCUUGAGUCUGAUUCGCGAGUUGGAGGGGUAACGGCCCACCAGGGCGAUGAUCAGUAGCCGGGCUGAGAGGAUGAACGGCCACAGUGGGACGGAGUUACGGCCCAGACUCCUACGGGAGGCAGCAGGGGGGAAUCUUCCGCAAUGGACGAAAGUCUGACGGAGCAACGCCGGGUGAGUGAUGACGGCCUUCGGGUUGUAAAGCUCUGUUAAUCGGGACGCGGUACCGGAAUAGAAAGCCACGGCUAACUACGUGCCAGCAGCCGCGGUAAUUC
rnacentral:rRNA from 1 species